GGUUCUGUGGCGCAAUGGACAGCGCAUUGGACUUCUUGGACAGAAGAAGGCGCAUUUAAAGGUUAAGGUUUCGAGUCGCACCAGAGUCA